AUUGAACGCUGGCGGCAGGCCUAACACAUGCAAGUCGAGCGAGCGGCGGACGGGUGUGUAAUGUCUGGGAUACUGCCUGAUGGGGGGGGCUCACUACUGGAAACGGUAGUUACUACCGCAUCCCCACUGAUGUACCCCGCUGGGAUUAGCUAGUAGGUGGGGUACCGGCUUACCUAGCCGACGAUCCCUAGCUGGUCUGAGAGGAUGACCAGCCACACUGGAACGGAGACACGGUCCAGACUCCUACGGGAGGCAGCAGUGGGGAAUAUGGCACAAUGGACGAAAGCCUGAUGCAGCCAUGCCGCGUGUGUGAAGAAGGCCUGCGGGUUGUAAAGCACUUUAAGCGGGGAGGCGUUACCCGCAGAAGAAGCACCGGCUAACUCCGUGCCAGCAGCCGCGGUAAUAC
rnacentral:rRNA from 1 species